rnacentral:rRNA from 1 species
AGCGAGCGCUGGCGGCAGGCUUAACACAUGCAAGUCGAGCGGGCACUUCGGUGUCAGCGGCAGACGGGUGAGUAACACGUGGGAACGUACCCUUCGGUUCGGAAUAACGCUGGGAAACUAGCGCUAAUACCGGAUACGCCCUUUUGGGGAAAGGUUUACUGCCGAAGGAUCGGCCCGCGUCUGAUUAGCUAGUUGGUGGGGUAAUGGCCUACCAAGGCGACGAUCAGUAGCUGGUCUGAGAGGAUGAUCAGCCACACUGGGACUGAGACACGGCCCAGACUCCUACGGGAGGCAGCAGUGGGGAAUAUUGGACAAUGGGCGCAAGCCUGAUCCAGCCAUGCCGCGUGAGUGAUGAAGGCCUUAGGGUUGUAAAGCUCUUUUGUCCGGGACGAUAAUGACGGUACCGGAAGAAUAAGCCCCGGCUAACUUCGUG